ACCGGGCUCUGAUACCAACUUUGUCACGACCCAAUUUCUGAUCAUGACCGGCGCACAGGCCACCUCUAACUAACCCUGUAUUUAGCCUGGCAAGCCUAUUAAACUAUACACUAUAACAAAUAUACUUAAUUAAAAUAUAGAAUUUUUAAAAUUAUAGCUCGACAGGGAGGGUCCCUGGUCCUACGUAUCCCUAAAUGAUUUGGGAAUCAGAGCCACGUAGUUCUCUGAGUGUUGGUUAUUAACUAUCAACAAAAUAUAUAAAAACUAUCUCAUU
rnacentral:lncRNA from 1 species